GACGAACGCUGGCGGCGUGCUUAACACAUGCAAGUCGAACGGAAAGGCCCUGCUUUUGUGGGGUGCUCGAGUGGCGAACGGGUGAGUAACACGUGAGUAACCUGCCCUUGACUUUGGGAUAACUUCAGGAAACUGGGGCUAAUACCGGAUAGGAGCUCCUGCUGCAUGGUGGGGGUUGGAAAGUUUCGGCGGUUGGGGAUGGACUCGCGGCUUAUCAGCUUGUUGGUGGGGUAGUGGCUUACCAAGGCUUUGACGGGUAGCCGGCCUGAGAGGGUGAACGGCCACAAUGGGACUGCGAUACGGACCAGACUCCUACGGGAGGCAGCGGUGGGGAGUAUUGCACAAUGGGCGGAAGCCUGAGGCAGCAACGCCGCGUGCGGGAUGACGGCUUUCGGGUUGUAAACCGCUUUCGCCUGUGACGAAGCGUGAGUGACGGUAAUGGGUAAAGAAGCACCGGCUAACUACGUG
rnacentral:rRNA from 1 species